CUCUUUUCCAUCAGUCUAUACUAAAAAAAAUUAUUUCAGGGGUGGAGUCAAAGAUUUAGGGCUUUCUGGCAGCAAAAUACUGACAGAAACAUCUGGAAAAUGCAACUCAUGCACAAUCUGAAUUCAAACCUUUGUUUUUCUAGAUAUAUGUUUUUUUCUUGCACACAACCUUCCAAGGGAAUCUGACUUUGAGACUCAAUGAAGAGAUUCCCAAACUGUAGACAUCCUGAAGUAACUGGAUAACACAUCCUGGAGAUGUGCUAUUGGAGCACAGGCCAAAAGUAUGUCUUGGUUGCAUCUUCACCCAGAGGGAUGCAGAUACCAGCCAUAGAAGAUGUUCCUAAAGAGGAAGAGUUCGUAUCACUGGCUUUUAGGUUGGAGAAGAUGAUCAUGUUGGUAUCAGCUCAGCUGAACAAACUUGCCGUAUUUGGAAUUCCUGCUGUCUUCAGAGGAUGUUCUGUCCAUUGUCAGUGUGAACAGACCAGUCCAGUGCUCACAGGCAGUGACUGACUAUGAAGAAGAGCCAAAAGGUUUAUGCAUGAUGAGAAUCUGAAUCUUUAACUGACUUUGGUAAACUCUUAAAGGUUGGGUGCUGGGUUGUGGCUAUGAAAAACUGGAUUAUGGCGUGAAAACCUACCUCCGGCCUGCUAAUUGUCCUCAUUUUUUAUGUGUGCUUUUCUGUUUGAGAAACAGGACCUUCUCUAUUAAACUUUCUAAGAUUCACAGUUGGAAAGCACUGCAUAAAAACCGAGUUGUUCUUUUCGCUACUUGAUUAUCUUUUUUUCCCGAGGCCUGGGUGAGAUUAGAAGUUGGAGUUUGCGUGCUGAAGUUGUACUGUUGUUUUGUUUUGUUUUCCUAACCACUUCCACAUGCAAUCGAGUUUUAUUGCCAGCUGCUCGCCAUGGUCGAUCUCUUGGGAACUUGGGCUCCUGCUUGUUAUUAAACUCAUAGCCAUUGGUUAGUUUAAUUUUUUGCAAAUGUUAAUUUAUCAGGUUUGGGUUUCCACCAGUUGUCUUUACCCAGCCAGAGGUGGGCAAUGGAGUAAGCACCGAUGUGUAGGAAGUGCUCAUCAGAACCUCAAAUUCCUGUAGAGGGAGAAAUGGGCAAGUUUAUGGCCACUCUCACAUUCUUUCUGUAUUGAAAUUAAGUAUCUUGAAAUUUUUCACUUCCCACAGAGCAAGAAUAUGAAAUUUCCUUUAAUUAAUGGAAGAAAGAUUUUAUUUCGCAAUUUUAAAUGGGCUCCCCAUGAUGAUCACAGCAGGGAGCCCAUGAACCCAGACAUGCUGCUCACCAGGGAGGCUUCCAGGGAGGCCAGUGAGCUAGAAGGAAACCAGCCAGGUUUCCCUAGGAAGUGUGUUAGAAGAUCUGAUUCAAUCAAUCUGUUCCUGUAGAAUAUAUAUGCAUAUUUUUCAGGAACUGGCAUUUUCCUAUGGAAAAAGAUUUUAACUGAGUUAAAAUUGGAGAUUGGUGAGCACGCUUUCCAGUCAGUCCUAGCUGCAGUGGUGAGAAAGUCACAUGUGCUUUGUAAAUAUAUGUAAAUAUAUGCCAAUCUAACAUACAAGUUAGGCAACCACACUAGGCACCUAAAAUAGGGCCUUUGAAUGACCCAAAAGUCUCCUUAAGGACUUUUGCAUUGUUAUCUAUCAAUCUAAAGCUAGCGUUGGAAUGAGCAGACCACCAGGAUACUUCCCUACUUUGCAGGGCAAGGAUGUAUGGAAAUGGGUCCUCAGACAAAGCAGAAGCCAAAGCCAGGUGUGGUGAGAACAUCUGUACCCUCUUCAACUUUGCAUAGUUUCAGCAAAUUAAUGUGAUAGCUGUGAGUCCUGUGCGUUUCCCUGUGGAAUUUAUUCUUUUAAAACAAUCCUCUGCUUGUGUGUUUGAUCCCAUAGUACCAAUAGCUGUAAGACUCGAGGAACUGGGUACCUGUUCUGGAUUUAAGCAUCAGUUGUUGGUACCAAGUCACAAAGUCCUGAGCACUGGCUGCACUUUCAGCAGCCUGUGGGCUGUGCUUUCCCCAGAGACCUGUCAAUGCUUUGGAGGCUUGUGGCCAAAUUGCUGUGGUGCCAGAACGUGCAGCCUGUGCUGCUGAUGGGCACAGAUGACCACAGGAGGCACAGGGUGGUGGGGAGAAGGAGGAAGGUUUGGGGCUGAGCAGGGUAGCAUGGCCCACGUUCAGCCCCAUGAGAACUCCCACUGGGUAUUCCAGAGGAGGGAACACGGAGGGGCUUAGGUGAAAUCAGGGCAGAAACAGAGUGUCUGGCCCCAGGCACCAGAAAAAUGCUGAAACUAUUUCUCCUAUGGUGUCCUGGCGGGCAUAAUGGACAAAGGCUUGUGGGUCUCGUGUACUGUUCAGUGUCUGGGGACCUGAACUCCCACAAAAAAUGAAUUUUUCACACAGGCAGUUAAAGAGAGAUGAACUCUUGCCAGAGUUUGUACAUGGAGACCUUUCUACCCUGUACUUUCUCAGAAAACUCUGCAGGAACAAACACGUGAGGUAAAGCGGGAAAGGGUUUAACUCCUGAACGAGCUCUGGAGACUCUGCAGCAUUUCCUACCCCUGCCCUCACAUCAGAUCCUGCCCCAUUACUGUGGCCACAGGCUUUUCUAGAGGAAAACUGGGUUUGCAUUGGGACACACGUCCUGUGCUUCCAGCUCCAUUUGGCAGGGAGGGAAGGGGAGCUGUGGGAGAAUAAAAGGCUUAUUUAUGGCUCUGUUUGGUAAAGGCAAAUAUGGGUGGGAGGAGUAAGACUAGAGGUCUAAUUCUCUGUAUGUGGAAGUGAGGAGGAGACUGAUCCACUGGGGAGAAAAACAAUGUUACUGCUUGAUGUGAAAGUUUUAAUUUUCAUAGUUAGAUGAAAUAAUCUACUUUCUCUGUCACACAAGAAAUAAAAAAGUGUUUAUUUUUACACAUGUAAAGCUGUUGCAGUCACUGUCCUGCCUGAAAAGUACUGGGUUUAGUCCUCGGUUCUGUGUUUAGACCUCCCUUGGUUUGUAUUUUAGUCAAAACAUGUCUCCUUUGGGAAUACCACAUCCCACAGCACUGAGCCCCACCAGUGACUCGGUGCUGACUCAGAAGAGAAAGUGCCAUCCACUGAAUCAGCCACACAGCUGUGGGACAAGCCAGUGUUUUCCUUGGCUAUCUCCAGCAAAACAGUGAUCAGACACGUAAAUCUACUCAGCUUGCUAGGUGAGAUGAGAUCACAGUUAAAGAGGCAAAAGUCACAUCAGGGCAUAUUUAUAAUGAGGAAAAAAAGAACAUUUUCAUAGAGUUGCUUGUUUGUACAGGAUGUAGAGGGAAGUAUGAUGCAGGGCACCUGGAUUUGGAGCCCUCUGGAUGCUUCUUUUAGAAUUUUCUAAAGGGAAAUCAUCAUUCACACUUCAGAAAUGAGAAGAUGGAGGUACACUUUGGAGUCUUGUAAUUGAAGUAUUAUGCUACUAUUCUGACUGACUCAGAUUCUGCUGUUUUCCCUGCAUGACUCUCCUUCACAAUGGUAGCUUUUGGGGUUUGUGGACUUGUUUAUUUUUUUUAAGUUAUCAUUAUAUCAGCUGCAAUGCUACUCAUAGGGAGUAGUGGAAAGUGCUAGAAGUCAUUUCAUGGCUGUGUAAAAGUCUGUACAUGACUUGCCUUUCUAAAGUAAAAGUCAUAUAAUGAAUUAUGGGGAAUGCGCAAUAUGGAAAUAUCACAUUAAAAUAAAGGAAUGAUACAGAAAAAGGCAAUUUAAAGUUGAACUUCACAAAGCAGUAUUGUCAGAUCUGUUAUUCUGCAAAAUAUUUCCCUGCAAAGGUGAUUGAGGGAAGAUCCUUGACAUAGCAUUUGACUGCACCUGCAUGGAGUGGGCUCCUUCAGUAACAGUGCAAGUAAUCAUGUCUCUCUCUGCUGCCAUCGGUAAUUGCACCAAAAAUAGUUGAAUAUUUGCCCUUAUGUAUUUAAUGGCAUGAUAAACUUUCAUUGAGAGACUGCUGACCCUGUCAUCCAUCUGUUUUUGGUACUCGGCUGCCACAUAGUGGCCUCCUUCAUGGACCUGGAGAAUGGGAGGAGGAAGGGAGGAUAUCAAGUUGAUGACAAGAAUGAGCAAAUACAAGUGUCAUGACUCACUUAUGGUGUCUGUUAAUUCCUUACUGCUCAGGGAAGCAGAAUCUAAUUUUGUACCAUCUAAAACACAGGAAACAAACAUGAGGACACAGUAAAAAAAAGGCAGGAAACCCAUCAGUUAGCUAACAAAAGAUUCUUUCAAGAAAUCUAUAAAGGAGUUUGUAUGGAAGUAGAAGAGUUUUCUCUAACUUACUAAUAUCUGCUUCCUUUCCUUUGCCACCUCCUCUUUUCUCCCUAGAUACCAACAACUAAGAUUUGAAGUGUAUUCCUUUCAGGGGAGUUCACGUUAGAAGGAAAAGUGAAUAAAUGGGUGUAAAUGACGGGAAUUAACAGUUUCCUCACCUCGUGCUCAAGCUGGAUGUUCAGGUUUGGUUUCUUAUUGGUGGUUAAUGGAAGUGCAGCCCCUCUGCUGUGCUGACCCACGUGUGACUUGUAUGAAUGGCCUUCCCCCUCUUCCUGUCUGUAUCUGCCAGGGAAGAUGGGCUUUUCUCUUCAUGUGCAUGCCCCUGUAGUGAAAUGAGAUCCAGUUUUCCAGCUUGAGGAACUGUCCUGCACAGAAUAAUUUUUGAGCUUUUGUGAGGCAGUGGAGAAAUCCUCUUUUGAUCCCGACCUGGAACCUGUGCUAUUUUAAAUUUCAGCUAAAGCAUUCCUUCAUGCAAGCUCUGCCUUUUUAAAGUAUCAGAGAAUGGUUUGGGUUGGAAGGGACCUUAAAAAUCAUCUUGUUCCAAACUGCCUGUCAUGAGCAGGGAUGGCACCCCCUAGACCAGGUUACUCAAAGCCCCUUCCAAACUGGCAUUGAACACUUCCAGGGAUGGGGCUGUCACAGCUUCUCUGGGCAACCUGUGCCACCGGGAGGGAGGUGGCAAUGGGGUCUGUUUCGUGCCGUAGGAUCCUACCCGGAUCAAAACUUUGUAACCAUGAUAAAAUGCAGCAAAAAAAUGCAGCAAAGUUUUUUUUUUUGCUGCCCUAUAGGUUGAGAUUUUGACACCCUUCACUCCUCUAUGCCUGCCUUGUUCCUGUAAGCAAGUAAUCCAUUGCAGGUGGUCAGUCCUGGAGACUCCAGCUUUGGUCCGGUUUGUACGUAACUGGGCCCGACAGCCUUUUGUGAGAAAUGAUCUGAGGUAAUGGAAUCUCUUUAAGGUCCUCAGACUGACAGUGUGUGGCAGUCUGAUUUUCUGACAUAUCAAAUGUGGACUUCAGACCAUCAGGAUCCCUUAAAUGAAAGAUGGUAUUUAGGAAGUUUGGACUUCAGUCCUCUAUGUGCCUCCUGGGUAUGUGCUGAGUUCCUAGUGUUGGUUAUGGUAGUUUGAUCAUGAAUUAGUGCCAAGUAAGGAAGCAGAGAGGUAGGAAAAUUAACUCGGUCUGUAAGAAAAGACUGUUCAAAUCUUAAAAAUAGUUCCAUAUGAACUUCCAUAUGGCAAGUUUAGAUCUAUUAUUUUGUUUAAUCAUCUGUGACAGAAAUGUUAGUACCUGUUUGUUUUAAGAAUAAGCAUCCUGUGAAUUUGAUUUGUCAUAGUGUAAAGAGUCUGAUGUUGUUUACAGUAGGUGGAUGUGAAAUAUACUUCUGUAAAAGCUCUAGGAUCUUUAUUUUAACACAUGCACGUUAGUGCUAUUAGCAGAGUGAUGAGAAUCUACUUGGUGAAAUGAUUAUUUGUUUUUUCAUUGUGCUUAUAAAGCUGGUUUUAUUUGCCAUAAAUUCCAGUGCAGGCAGAGAAGCGUAAGUGACUGAGACAACUGUUGCAGGUAAGAGAGUUUCUACUCAGGGAAUUUUUAUUUAAUCUAAUUUAUUGCCAAUUAACAUGAACUUCUGGUCACCCCGGUUCUGAUGUUGAGAGAAAGAAGGAUAAAACUAAUCAAAUAAACACAUUGGUAAACUUUAGGAGUAAAGUAAAGUAAAGUAAAAUAAAGUGGUCUUACUGAUUGGCAUUCACAGAAGCAAAUACCUGGAUGUAACAAAUGAGAGGAGGAAUUGAAACUGUCGUAAAGGGACGUGGUGGGGCACCUACUUUCCUGGAUGUGAAUUUUCAAUAAAAGCAACCCCUUUCUGCAAUCUAA